rnacentral:ncRNA from 1 species
AAUUCAGUCUUGGGGGCGAAACGCCCUCAACCUAUUCUCAAACUUUAAAUUGGUAAGAAGCCCGACUCGCUCGUUUGGAGCCGGGCAUGGAAUGCGAGUGCCAAGUGGGCCACUCUUGGUAAGCAGGACUGGCGAUGCGGGAUGAACCGAACGCCGGGUUAAGGCGCCCGACGCGACGCUCAUCAGAGCCCACAAAAGGUGUUGGUUGAUAUAGACAGCAGGACGGUGGCCAUGGAAGUCGGAAACCGCUAAGGAGUGUGUAACAACUCACCUGCCGAAUCAAUCAGCCCUGAAAAUGGAUGGCGCUGGAGCGUCGGGCCUAUACCCGGCCGUCGCGGCGGUACGAGCAUCGAGUUGGUGCGCUAGGCCGCGACGAGUAGGAGGGCCGCGGCGGCGGGCGUAGAAGCCUAGGGCGCGAGCCCGGGUGGAGCAGCCGUCGGUGCAGAUCCUUGGUGGUAGUAGCAAAUAUUCAAAUGAGAACUUUGAAGGCCGAAGUGGAGAAGGGUUCCAUGUGAACAGCAGUUGAACAUGGGUCAGUCGACCCUAAGGGAUAGGCGAAGGCCGUUCUGAAGCGGGGUGAUGUUCGCGUCGCCCCGGCGGACCGAAAGGGAAUCGGGUUAAUAUUCCCGAACCUCGACGCGGAGAUUGGCGCUCCGGCGCCUAGUGCGGCAACGCAAACGAACUCGGAAACGCGCACGUGGGUCCCGGGG